GACGAACGCUGGCGGCGUGCUUAACACAUGCAAGUCGAACGAGAAAGCCCUUCGGGGUAAGUACAGUGGCGAACGGGUGAGUAACACGUGGGCAACCCGCCCCGGAGAGCGGGACAACCCGAGGAAACUCGGGCUAAUACCGCAUGAUGCGUCUCCACUUAAGUGGAGCCGCCAAAUGGUAGCCUCGGCCUCCGCUCUGGGAUGGGCCCGCGCCGGAUUAGCUAGUUGGUUGGGGUAAUGGCCCACCAAGGCGACGAUCCGUAGCUGGUCUGAAAGGACGAUCAGCCACACUGGGACUGAGACACGGCCCAGACUCCUACGGGAGGCAGCAGUGGGGAAUCUUGCGCAAUGGGCGAAAGCCUGACGCAGCAACGCCGCGUGAGGGAAGAAGGCCUUCGGGUUGUAAACCUCUUUCAGUAGGGACGAAGCUUCCGGGGUUAAUAGCCCACGGGGUGACGGUACCUACAGGAGAAGCCCCGGCUAACUACGUGCCAGCAGCCGCGGUAA
rnacentral:rRNA from 1 species